rnacentral:lncRNA from 1 species
UGAAAGACUUCUUUGCCAAAUGACAACUCUGCAGAGUACCGCUGAGUUGCAAGGCACCCUAACCACAAUCUGCCCAGUGUGAAAAGGAACUCCUGCCAUACAGUCUUCUAAAAUUAAUUCACUCAUAAUGGAUUCAUUCAUUCACAGCACAAAUAAUUAUUGCAAGCCAUGUGCUAGGACUGUCUUUCCCCCACCCCAGGAUCAAAGACAACUAUAAGCUUUCUCAUCACAGAGGCAGAAUUCCUGACCCUCACAACUUGAAGAAGAGAUUAUUUUGGCUCAUGGUUCAGUCUAUGGUUGACUAGCGGAAGAAAGUUGCUUAGUUCAUGGUUGCCAGGAAGCAGAGAAGACAGCACUAGAGAGAAAGGAGUCAAAGACAAGAUAUGCUACACAAAUUCAUGUCUUCCUGACCCACCCAGACACACCCAGAAGUGUUGUUUGCUAAUGUCCUGGUGGCACUCAAGCCAAUAAAGUUGACAAUCUAAUGUAGUUGUCAUAGUCUGUCAUCAUUGACCUUUUUCUGCCAAACUUUAGCUAUUUGUCUGUGAUAUCUUUCUGCUCCAGUCAAAACAGUGA